UUUCUACUCCCUCCGUCCGAAAAUACUUGUCAUCAAAAUGAAUAAAAAUAGAUGUAUCUAAAACUAAAAUACGUCUAGAUACAUUUCCUUUUAUCCAUUUUGAUGACAAGUAUUUCCAGACGGAGGGAGUAUUUA
rnacentral:pre_miRNA from 1 species